rnacentral:lncRNA from 1 species
UGUAAAAGCAGCACGUUUGUGGCUUUUUUAACUUUAGUAUUCUUCUUCACCCUCUCCUUCGACAGAAUCCACACCAACCUCCUCAUAAUCCCUCUCAAGGACAGCCAAGUCCUCGUGGGCCUCAGAACACUCUCCUCCCUCCAUGCCCUCACCCACAUACCAGUGAACAAAGGCACGCUUGGCAUACAUCAGGCCAAACUUGUGGUCCAGGUGAGCCCAGGCCUCAGCAAUGGCUGUGGUGUUGCUCACCGUGCACACAGUUCGCUGUACUUUGGCCAGGUCUCUACCAGAUACCACAGUGGGAGGGUGGUAAUUAAUGCCAACUUUGAAGCCAGUAGGGCACCAGUCCACAAAUGGCACGGUAUGCUUGGUCUUGCUGGUGGCAGUGGCAGCAUUGACCUCUUUGGGAACCACGUGGCCACAGUACAACAGGCAGCAAGCCAUGUAUUUACCAUGGCAAGGGUCACAUUUCACUGUCUGCUUGGCUGGCUCAAAAC